rnacentral:tRNA from 1 species
UCCCGAUUGGUCUAGUGGUCAGGAUACCUGCUUGUCAAGGAGCAAUCCGCAGGUGGCCGGGGUUCGAUUCCCCGAUCGAGAG